rnacentral:lncRNA from 1 species
GGAGGAGAAAGAGCCCAGCUCCAGACUAUGUAGGCGUUGAGGUUGAGAAUGAGGUGGGAGAGCUGCUGUUUUCAACCAGCCUGGGCACAGAGCUGGAGAAAGCCCAUGGGGUUUGAAGGAAGAGCCCUGGAUGAAUUGGAUCAAACGUGUUUUGCUGCUGUCUUGUACAGGUGCAGAUCAACAGCUACAUGCUGGGCAAUCCUCCUCUAUGCAUGGGGCAGGUGUCUUGGGGUCAUGCCCUACAUGACUCUUCAGGAGUUGGACUCAAUGACCCUUAUGGGUCCCUUCUAACUGGAGACAUUCUAUGAUUCUAGAUGAAGGCAUUUCUUGGGGAACCUCCAAACAAAUUCCAUUACUGAGACCUGCACUCAAACACAGCCAACCUCGUCACUUGCCUGUGACUAAAAGAAGAUUCUUCCAGCAAAGACACUGUACAAUCACAGGCAGCUGCACUGAGGAAAAUGUAAAUGCAAUAGAAAACACAGACGUGGAGGAGCAUCUGUUCUCCCCUCCAGGUCGAGCAGUGGUCUUGAAAGAUGAACCGGCAUGGGGAGAGCUCAGAAGGAGCGAGGUGAGCACAUCUACCAGUGGAAUGUCUGCUCCUACAGUGGCACACUUGUCAGGUGAGAUGGUCUUUCAGCUCAAAAUCAUAUUCUGGGCUCUUGCAUUUUACAGAUGUUUAUAUCCAAAGCCAGAACUGUAUUUCCUAUGGUCCCAUCCGAAAAGCUCCAGCUGCAGACAAAUCUAGGGAGGCAUCAGCUCCUUCUGCAGCAGUGACUGUUGAUACCACCUCACUGAGCUGCCAAUGUCCACCAUGCAAUGUGCCUGCUACAUGAUGCCAGAGAGAAGCACAAUUCAUGGAAGGCUUGCAGGAAGGAGAGAGAAUGUAUAGCAUAGAAGCCUGGAAAGCAGGCCAAGAGGAGGUUAUUCCCAUGAUACAUCUCUGUUCCCCCCUCCCCAUCAUGUCAGCAGCCUCUUCAGCUUCACACAGAGGUUGUGAGGAUUCAUUAGUUAAUGUUUGUAAAGCACUAUAUAGAUGGAGAGAGCUAUGUAAGUGCUAAGUAUUAUUAUUAUUACAGAGAGUCGCUGUUAAGGCAAUGGAUAUGCUCUUAAGUGUCAUUUCAUAUUUAAUUAACGUGCAAUAAUUGUCUUCCAAAACCUGGAGGUACAUCUUUAUUCUUGACACUUCCUUUAAAG